CUACGUGCCAGCAGCCGCGGUAAUACGGAAGGUCCGGGCGUUAUCCGGAUUUAUUGGGUUUAAAGGGAGCGUAGGCCGGAGAUUAAGUGUGUUGUGAAAUGUAGACGCUCAACGUCUGACUUGCAGCGCAUACUGGUUUCCUUGAGUACGCACAACGUUGGCGGAAUUCGUCGUGUAGCGGUGAAAUGCUUAGAUAUGACGAAGAACUCCGAUUGCGAAGGCAGCUGACGGGAGCGCAACUGACGCUUAAGCUCGAAGGUGCGGGUAUCGAACAGGAUUAGAUACCCUGGUAGUCCGCACAGUAAACGAUGGAUGCCCGCUGUUGGUACCUGGUAUCAGCGGCUAAGCGAAAGCAUUAAGCAUCCCACCUGGGGAGUACGCCGGCAACGGUGAAACUCAAAGGAAUUGACGGGGGCCCGCACAAGCGGAGGAACAUGUAGUUUAAUUUGAUGAUACGCGAGGAACCUUACCCGGGCU
rnacentral:rRNA from 1 species